rnacentral:piRNA from 2 species
UGAAAUCAAUUUCAUGGGCUG